rnacentral:tmRNA from 1 species
GGGGAUGACCGGUAUUGACAGCGUGUAGAAGCGGCACGUAAGCAGGCAGAGCCAUGAUGUCUAAUCUCUAUAAACACUUGGCAUCGAACUAUAACUGGCGAAAAUAACAAUUACGCUCUCGCUGCUUGAUUUGAAGCAUAGUAGAAUCGCUUAAUUUCCGCACAAGGUGCGGAAACGAGACAUCACUCCAUUGCCCCGUUCCGAGACGUUUGGAUAAAGUGGUGCUGAAAAAUUCGGAAAUAGGAAAGGCGAAGCCUCGGCGACUUUCCGAGAUUGAGAGGAUAAGGAAUGCGUUGGUAGUCGUGAGCCUGCGUAUUCUCGAAAACCAAGUCAAUGACUAAGCCUGUAGAAAGCGCGUUGAUUCCGCGUUUGGACGAGGGUUCAAGUCCCUCCAUCUCCACCA